CAGCCGCCGCGGUAAGACAGAGGUCCCGAGCGUUGUUCGGAUUCAUUGGGCGUAAAGGGUGUGUAGGAGGCCAGGUAAGUCAGGUGUGAAAUCUCAGAGCUUAACUCUGAAACUGCGCUUGAUACUGCUUGGCUAGAGGAUCGGAGGGGGUAACGGAAUUUAUGGUGUAGCAGUGAAAUGCGUAGAUAUCGGGAGGAACAUCAGUGGCGAAGGCGGCCAUCUGGGACAACACUGACGCUGAAGCACGAAAGCGAGGGGAGCAAACAGGAUUAGAUACCCGAGUAGUCCCUGUCUCUUAUAC
rnacentral:rRNA from 1 species